GUUGCUAUAAUUAAGUAAACUUUAACAUAAAGUCGUUCUAGCUGAUUGUCGAAGAAAAACAAGAAAAGUUAACCGACCGAUCCGAAAACUGUUUAAUUUUAUUGGCAAGUCUGUUAAGGCUUCAGCUUACGGCUCUGAAGGAUCCGGAAUCGAAUGCCAGCGAUCGAAAUAACCACAGGAAUUUUUUCGGGGGUGGCCUGUCUCGGAUAUGUCGGGCCUUGUCUCUCAUUACUUAUCCACCCUAUUGUGGGCCUGUGAGAAAUGUUUUCUGGGAUGAAAGAAUUCUUUUAAAAAGUGCCAUUUUAUUAUCAUCGGUAAAUUUUGACGGUUUCUAAAUAUUUUAAAACCGUCAAACUUCAUAAAUAAAACGGAAAGAUAAAUAUAUUUUUUCCUCUUUAU